rnacentral:lncRNA from 1 species
UGCCUGCCCACUUCACCUGUGCUUGCAGCUUCCAGCCUUGCCAGCUGGGAAAAUAAGGUUCCUCAGUGUAUGUGCUUCCAGGAGCCUCCUCAGCUAUUUUUAUCCUUCUGAGUCCCCACCCCGGAUAUUUACUUACUCUCCAAGAGGCGGAAUCCUCCUUUCUCUGGUUACUCACUCUGGAGGCUCCCACGGCAUCCCAGCCUCCACGCUCCAGCCAUGGAAACGCUCCUGAUGGAGAUGAUAACACUGCAGCUGACUAAGAGCCUCAAGAGGAGAGAGCAUCCCACACAUCAGGGAUCCAUGGGCAGGCAGAGCUGGGCUGGCUGGGGCCCAGAGGUGAGGCUCUUCCAGGAAGUGCUACAGGCACCUGAGGGCCCCAGGCAGCUCUGUGACUUCAUUCAGCUCCUGCUGAGAUGUCCUGCCAGCAAAGCCAGCAGCAGUGCCAGCCCCCUCCCAAGUGUUCCCCAAAAUGUUCACCCAAGUGUACUCCUAAGUGUCCCCCAAAAUGCCCCCCGAAGUGCCCUGCCCCCUGCCCACCUCCAGUCUCCUGCUGUGGCCCCAGCUCUGGGGGCUGCUGCAGCUCUGGAGGUGGGAGCUGCUGCAGCUCUGGGGGUGGCGGUUGCUGCCUGAGCCACAACAGACGUCGAAGAUCUUUUCGACGCCACCACCGGAACUCUGACUGCUGUGGCAGUGGCACUGGUCAGAAUUCUGGGGGCUCUGGCUGUUGCUCUGGGGGCUGUUGCUGACCUAGGCCACGAGGAGCACUGAGGAGCAUCACGGGAGAGCCAAAGUGCCGAUGACCUGCCCAGUCUGAGACUUUCUCUUCUCCCAUUUCCCACGGAAAGUCUUCCGAGCUGCUCUGAAGUUUCUUCUUCUUCCUGCCCAAGUUCGUCACACUGUGAGGUCUAGAAGUCCAACCUCUGAUAGUCACUGGCCUGAUUCUCUUCUCAGACUUGGUUCUUUGGAGGACUUGAGUUGGAGUUCAGUCAUGCAGCUGUUUUCUCUGUAACAAUAAAGCUUUUUCUUCCUGAUGUCA